rnacentral:rRNA from 1 species
GACGAACGCUGGCGGCGUGCUUAACACAUGCAAGUCGAACGGGUCUGCCCUGUUUUUUGCGGGGUGGGUCAGUGGCGAACGGGUGAGUAACACGUGAGUAACCUGCCCCUCACUUCUGGAUAACCGCUUGAAAGGGUGGCUAAUACGGGGUGUUCUGGCUGUGCCGCAUGGUGUGGCUGGGAAAGAUUCACUUUUGUGGUGUUUUGGCGGGGGAUGGGCUCGCGGCCUAUCAGCUUGUUGGUGGGGUGAUGGCCUGCCAAGGCUUUGACGGGUAGCCGGCCUGAGAGGGUGGGCGGUCACACUGGGACUGAGAUACGGCCCAGACUCAUGCGGGAGGCAGCAGUGGGGGGUAUUGCACAAUGGGCGGAAGCCUGAUGCAGCGACGUCGCGGGAGGGAUGGAGGCCUUCGGGUUAUGAACCUCUUUCGCCGGUGAAGAAGGUCCUGCUCUUUGUGGUGGGGUUGACGGUAGCCGGGUUAUGAAGCGCCGGCUAACUACGUG